UACCAGCACCCCGAGUGGUCUGGACGAUUAUUGGGCCUAAAGCAUCCGUAGCCGGUUUUACAAGUCCUCCGUUAAAUCCAACUGCUUAACAGAUGGGCCGCGGAGGAUACUAUAAGACUAGGAGGCAGGAGAGGCAAGCGGUACUCAGUGGGUAGGGGUAAAAUCCGUUGAUCCAUUGAAGACCACCAGUGGCGAAGGCGGCUUGCCAGAAUGCGCUCGACGGUGAGGGAUGAAAGCUGGGGGAGCAAACCGG
rnacentral:rRNA from 1 species